rnacentral:misc_RNA from 1 species
AACGCACAUUGCGCCCUUUGGUAUUCCAAAGGGCAUGCCUGUUUGAGCGUCAUUUCUCUCUCAAACCCUUGGGUUUGGUAUUGAGUGAUACUCUUAGUCGGACUAGGCGUUUGCUUGAAAUGUAACGGCAUGAGUGUACUAGAUAGUACGGUUCUGAUUUUAUUCAAUGUAUUAGGUUUAUCCAACUCGUUGAACGUAGGUCGGGGCGUAAAUUUCUGGUAGUAUUGGCUCGGCCUUAUAACAACAAACAAGUUUGACCUCAAAUCAGGUAGGAAUACCCGCUGAACUUAA